GAUGAAGAACGCAGCGAAAUGCGAUAAGUAAUGUGAAUUGCAGAAUUCCGUGAAUCAUCGAAUCUUUGAACGCACAUUGCGCCCGUCAGUAUUCUGGCGGGCAUGCCUGUUCGAGCGUCAUUACGCCCCUCAAGUCCCCUGUGGACUUGGUGUUGGGGAUCGGCGAGGCUGGUUUUCCAGCACAGCCGUCCCUUAAAUUAAUUGGCGGUCUCGCCGUGGCCCUCCUCUGCGCAGUAGUAAAACACUCGCAACAGGAGCCCGGCGCGGUCCACUGCCGUAAAACCCCCCAACUUUUUAUAGUUGACCUCGAAUCAGGUAGGACUACCCGCUGAACUUAAGCAUAUCAAUAAGCGGAGGA
rnacentral:misc_RNA from 1 species